AAUACGGAGGGUGCGAGCGUUGUCCGGAAUCACUGGGCGUAAAGGGCGCGUAGGCGGCGCGUUAAGUUGCCGGUGAAAUCCCGCGGCUCAACUGCGGGGCUGCCGGUAAGACUGGCGUGCUCGAGCACGGUAGAGGCAGAUGGAAUUCCCGGUGUAGCGGUGGAAUGCGUAGAGAUCGGGAAGAACACCAGUGGCGAAGGCGUUCUGCUGGGCCGUUGCUGACGCUGAGGCGCGACAGCGUGGGGAGCAAACAGGA
rnacentral:rRNA from 1 species